CGGGGUGAGUAACGCGUGAGCAAUCUGCCUUUAAGAGGGGGAUAACAGUCGGAAACGGCUGCUAAUACCGCAUAAAGCAUCAAAUUCGCAUGUUUUUGAUGCCAAAGGAGCAAUCCGCUUUUAGAUGAGCUCGCGUCUGAUUAGCUGGUUGGCGGGGUAACAGCCCACCAAGACGAUGAUAGGUAGGGGUUCUGAGAGGAAGGUCCCCCACAUUGGAACUGAGACACGGUCCAA
rnacentral:rRNA from 1 species